rnacentral:lncRNA from 1 species
UUUUUUUUUUUAACUUUUUUUUUCUUUUCACGUCCACACCUGUGGCAUAGGGAAGUUCCCGAGCUAGGGGUUGAAUCAGAGAUGCAGCUGCAGGCCUACACCUCAGCCACAGAAACACCAGAUCUGAGCCACAUCUGCAACCUACACUUCAGCUUGCAGCAAUGCUGGACCCUUACCCAAUGAAUGAGGCCAGGGAUCAAACCCACAUCCUCAAGGAUACUAUGCUAGGUUCUUAACCCACUAAGCCACAAUGGGAACUCCUAGAACUACAUUUCUUAAUGCUUCUGUUUGAGGAUAAAAGUUGUCAUAAUCAAUAUCUGCACACAUAGACAUUUAUGUCUAGUAUGCACAGAAUUUUAUCUGACAAGCAUAUACUAGGUUGAGACAUACAAAUAAGGACAAUCACUACAGCAUGGCUUUGACAGUUGAAACAAAUUAAUGAAAGAAAUAACUAGAAUGUGCACUGAUAAGGGGCAGGCAAAACAGAUUAUAACUUAUCCAUACUACAUAGCUGGGACAAAGGAUAAAGUAGACUUAGGGAUGCAAUAUAUAAAGACUGCAAUGUUCACUGCAGCACUAAUUCACAAUAGCUAAGACAUGGAAACAAUCUAAAUGACCAUCAAAAGAUUAAUGAAUAAAGAAUAUGUGACAUAUACAUACUAUGUAAUACUAUUUAGCCAUAAAAAGAAUUAAAUAAUGUCAUUUGAAAACAUGGAUGGACCUGGAGAUUAUCAUACUGAGUUAAAUAAGCCAGACAGAGGAACACAAAUAUCCAAUGAUAUUCAUUACAUGUGGGAUAUAAAAAAGAUACAAAAAAGAAACUUAAAAACAAAACAGAAAUAGACCCACAGACAUAGAAAACAAACUUAUGGUUACCAAAGGGGAAAGGGAGGAGGGAUAAAUUAGGAGUGUGGGAUUAACAUACAUAUGCCGCUAUAUAUAAAAUAGAUAACCAACAAGGACCUACUGCAUAGCACAGGGAACUCUACUCAAUAUCUUAUAUUAAGCUGUAAGGGAAAAGAAUCUGAAAAUCACACACACAUAACUGAAUCACUUUGCUAUACACUUGAAACUAAAACCACAUUGUAAAUCAACUACACUUCAAUUUUUUAAAAAAAGACCCAUAAGAUACACUGUUAUCCUAUGAAAAAAAGUUAAUAAGCUAUCACUAUGAGUCUUUUUUAAAAAGGAAUGCUCUCUCUUCUUUCACUCUCCCCUGUCCCCUUACCUAUAUAACACUCAAUCCUUGGAGUAUUUCUAGAUGGAUAACAAGUAAUUCUAAUUUAUUGGGGGGGGUGGCUCUUUAAAGUUCAAAAUAUGCAGUAAAUUCUUGCAAUUCCAAAGUUUUCUGUCUAAAUAUUUAACCAGUUACAAUUUGUUCAGUAAAAGAAAAUCAAUGCCUUGUAAAUGAGUAGAACUUAAUUCAUAAAGUGGUGGACAUGCUGAGGGCAAAGAUGCUUCUGUCCCCUAAAUCCUGACAUGAUCAUUCUUUGGACUCGAGAACAAGGAAGAAUGAAGUUACAAAGGCAUUUGCCCUGGAUUCUUCUCCUUCAUUCUGAGGAGCUAAGGAAAUUCUCCAGGAUGUCAGAGAGACUUAUACUAACACUACUUUCUAGAGAAACCAAACAAAGCAGUUGCAGCCGUACCCUCCAAUGAAGCCAAGAGCUGCAAGAAUCCUAGGAACCAGCAGAUUUACAUCCGUGCUCUCCUGUGCUUCUCGAGAGUCUCUGUGUCUUCAAAACACAAAGUACUGAAUUCAGAAAAGUAUUUGUUUGGAAGAUAAAACUAAUGAGAUUUUUCCUAGUAAAGAUACUAGGAAAUAACUGUUUCAUCUUUUUCUUCUUUAAGAAGGCUUUUACAUGCUCAAACCAGCAUUAUCUAUUGGGGGGGUCAGGAGUUUGAGGUAGGAGGGAGAUUUACUAUUAUAGGGUUUGAUUUUUUUAUACUAUUUACUAUUACAUUUUUAUAUACUAUUUACUAUUAUGUUUACUAUUUACUAUUAUAUUUUUCUAUUAUUUACUGUAUAGGGUUUGAUUUUUUUAUAUUAUGACUACGGUUUACUAUUCCAAUUUUUUUAUUACUUUUUUAAAUACUAUGACUAUGGUUUACUUUUUCAUCUAAAAAUUUUGGUUCAUAUGAAAACAAGUAACAAAUGAAAACCUAACACUGACAAUGAAAACUCUGAUAAAGUUCAUCUAAGUUAUUCUCACUUUGAGGUCUUGCCCAUGUGUGGCAAUUUGGGCCUGAGACACUCUAAGGAAAAGAAGUUUUUUGGUUCUUUGUUUUUAUUUAUUUAUUUAUUUAAGAAUGUACAGGAGGAACGGUGGGGGGGGGGAACCUCUCUCCCGAAGUAAUCUCCUGAGGUGAAUGUCAGAAAAUUAUGUCUAGCACCCCAAGCUGUAUGUUCCCAAGAGGAAAAGUAAUUAAGAAAAGCUUGGGGGAAAGUCAUACAAAUCAUCAAGGAAAUUACCUCUGAAAUUGAGCCAAGGGAAACAGUUGUGUAAUGACCGGUGAAGGAUUUGACAAUUGUCUUCUAAGUAUCUGAAAGGAAUAAAUAUCCAACACUAAAAAAUUAAUAGGUGGUAAAGGAGAAACAUUAUAAUUCCUAAUAAACCCACUUUAGGUAAAACUUUAUUUCUUCUCCAAUAGAUGCAAAUUAAAUAUGAACUAAUUCCACACAGUAUUCAAAGACCCUGGACUUUAUGCAAAGGAACCAGAGAGAGGGAAGAAUACAGAGAAUACAGUCUCCUAUUCCAUAAAGAACCUGAUAGCAGCAGAGAUGGGUGAAAAGCUCCACUCUCCCCAGUUGCUGCUCAAUUGUUUAAUAAGCAGAUAAGUCCUACUAAGGAAUCUUCACCACAUAGGCUGAUGAUUAAUUCAAGCACUAUAUCAUCUUGUUGUGACAGUAAUAAAUGAGAUACAGUAAUAAUUAGCCACCAUGAGACCUUCCUCUUUCAGGGCUAUGAAAAGAGGCACAAGAUAAGAGAAGCUUACACUUCAGUGAGGACCUGCAGCUAAGGUGGCAUCCUAUGCUGAAUAUCCAGUCAAUUCAUAUUUCAUAAUAAAUCACCCAAGGAGGAAACUACUUCCUCCCCCACCCCAUACACAGAAACCACUGUAGUGCUAUUUAGUUUCAGGCAUCUCCUCUAGAUGGUUCUUUAAAAUGUCCAUUUUAUGAUCACUGAAGGUUCUGGAAAAUUGUUCCAUCUGUAUCCCCAAGCUUCAUUUACCAAUGAAAUCUACAAGAUAAACUCUCUUUACCACUAAGACUUAUCCAUUCAGAUUUCUUAACAGAUGAGCCAUUUUAAACUGGUGAAAAGUCCUACUUCACUUAGGAUGAUAAUCUCCCAGUCCAUCCACAUCCGUCUGCAAAUGGCAUUAUUUUGAUCUUAUUUUAUGGCUGACAAAUAUUCCACUGUAUAUAUGUACCACACCUUCUUUAUCCAUUCUUCUGUCAAUGGACACUUAGGUUGCUUCCAUGUCUUGGCUAUUGUGAAUAGCGCUGCAAUGAAUACUGGGGUGCACGUAUCUGUUCAAAUUAUGGUUUUCUCCAAGAGAUGCCCAGAUGUGAGAUCAAUGGAUGAUACGGAAGUUCAAUUUUUUUAUUUUAAAGGAACCUCCAUAAUGUUAUCCAAGGCGGUUGUAACAAUUUACAUUUCUACCAACAGUGUAGGUUAGACAGAGAAAGGCAUAUCAUAUGAUACCAUUUAUAUGUAGAAUCUAAUUUUAUAAAUGAUGCAAAUGAACUUAUUUACAAAUCAGAAACAGCCUCACAGAUUUCAAAAACAAACUUAUGCUUACCAAAGUGGAAGCAUGGAGGCGAUAAAUUAGGAGCUUGGUAUUCAUAUAUACACACUACUAUAUAUAAUAUAUAAAAUAGAUAACCAAUAAAGACCCACUUUCUAGCACAGGAAACACUACUCACUAUUUUUAAUAACCUACAAUGGAAAAUAAUCUGAAAAAGAAUACAUACAUAUAUAUGUAUAAUAAAUAUAUAUAUAUGAAAUACAUAUAUACACAUAUGGAAUACAACAUUGUAAAUCAGCUAUUCUUCAAAUUUUAAAAAUCAUUUAUUUUUUUUAANUUUUUUUUUU